rnacentral:rRNA from 1 species
UACGAAGGGGGGCGAGCGUUGUUCGGAAUUACUGGGCGUAAAGGGCGCGUAGGCGGCCUGCUAAGUCGAACGUGAAAUCCCCGGGCUCAACCCGGGAACUGCGUCCGAUACUGGCAGGCUUGAAUCCGGGAGAGGGAUGUGGAAUUCCAGGUGUAGCGGUGAAAUGCGUAGAUAUCUGGAGGAACACCGGUGGCGAAGGCGGCAUCCUGGACCGGUAUUGACGCUGAUGCGCGAAAGCCAGGGGAGCAAAGCGGG